rnacentral:tRNA from 1 species
UAUAUAAUGGUGUAUAGGCAUAUGAAAUUUUGAUUUUCAGGGAGUAAGUGUAAUUCUUUCUUAUAUAA